UGGUUAUAGAAACAAAUGCUAAGAGGAAAGACAAAACUUCCCCGUCCACAUACAACAAUUUAAUAGAUAAAAGAACAGUUAAAUGAAAAAAAAAAGGUAGAAAUUUUAAACUUUGUUAUAGCUUUAAAACAUUAACGUCUGGUACAAUUAGAAAUCACAUUCAGAUCUCAAACUUUUUUUUUUAAAAAGUAUGGCUCCUUAUUAAAAAAAAAAAUACUGUAUCCCAUUUGAAAUGAAAACGCAGGCUGGCCUAGCUAAGGUGGGUCCCCCCUACUUGCACCCCUCCCCCCGCCCUGCCCAGGUGCUGGGGUGUAUGUGUCCCUCCUGGGUGCCCC
rnacentral:lncRNA from 1 species